GUGCGCCCUUGCGCACGUGGCGUACGGCUCAGUAAUGCGUGGCUAACCUGCCCUCGUGACGGGGAUAACCUCGGGAAACUGAGGAUAAUCCCCGAUAGGCGAGCGGCUUUGGAAGAACCGCUCACCGAAAGGGACGGAGGGAAUGGCCUUCGUCUGCGCGAGGAUGGGGCUGCGUCCCAUCAGGCAGUUGGUGGGGUAAUGGCCCACCAAACCUAUAACGGGUACGGGCCGUGAGAGCGGGAGCCCGGAGAUGGGCACUGAGACAAGGGCCCAGGCUCUACGGAGCGCACCAAGCGCGAAACCUUCGCAAUGCGGGAAACCGUGACGGGGCCAUCCCGAGUGCAGGCUGCUGAGGCCUGCUUUUGCCCAGUGUAAGAAGCUGGGCGAAUAAGUGGGGGGCAAGACUGGUGUCAGCCGCCGCGGUAAUACCAGCUCCACGAGUGGUCAGGACGGUUAUUGGGCCUAAAGCGUCCGUAGCCGGCCCGGUAAGUUUAUGGUGAAAUCCGGCAUCUCAAGUGUCGGAGCGCUGUAAAUACUGCCGGGCUAGGGAGCGGGAGAGGCCGAGGGUACCUCCGGGGUAGGGGCGAAAUCCUAUAAUCCCGGAGUGACGACCAGUGGCGAAAGCGCUCGGCUAGAACGCGUCCGACGGUGAGGGACGAAAGCUGGGGUAGCAAACCGGA
rnacentral:rRNA from 1 species